CGCUUCUCUGCCGGCCCCGCCCCCGCGUCUCCAAGGCCGCGGCCCGGCGGCGCUUUCGCUUCCGCCUCGGGAGGUGGCUCCCCGCGCGCUCCGCCAUGCCCCCGGGCCGGCCCGCGAUGGGGCGGGGCGUGGAGGGGCGGGCCCGUGGGCGGGGCCCGGCGCGCCACCAGGGCAGUGGGGGGUCUGGCCCCUCCUGGGAGGGUCGGGCGUUGUGGGACCGCGCGCGCUCAGGCGGCCGCCCUAGUCUCCUGUCCCCUCACCUGUCCCCUUAGCUGUCCCAUCUCCUGUUCCCUCUCCUGUCGUUCACCUGUCCUAUCUCCUGUCCUCCUGUGCCCUCAGCUGUCCCCUCAGCCCCCCUCAGUUCCCCCAGAGGCCCUUAGCCUCGGAACGGGCGCGUGGCUGUGCCCUGCGGCUGCAGGAGGCCGAGGGGACGAGGCGCAGCUGUUCCUGAGGCGAGUGGGUGACCGCAGAGCGGGAGCGCUGUCCCGCCUGGCAGCCUGGACGCCGGCCCUCCUCCUGGACGAACUAGUGGGACAGAAUCAUUGAAUGCGUAAGCUGAAAGGACUCUGGACCAGUCCUCUAAUGGAACAGAUGAAGAGAACUCACCCAGAGACCAAGGACCUGGCCAGCACUCCUAUCCCAGGGCUUUAUCACCACCACACAUGGUCUCGGGGACCACGUUCAUUGAAUGCCUACCACUUGGUCUGUAUCAUAUUUGAUUUUACAGAGAAAUAACAGUCACCUUUUCCUCCCUAUUGCAGAA